rnacentral:tRNA from 1 species
GGUUCCAUAGAUCAGUUGGUUAGAUCGUCGUACUAAUAAUGCGGAUGUCCUGGGUUCAAGCCCCAGUGGAACCA